UUUCAUAGCAAAGAUGCCUUUAAUAAAUGUGAUGACAUGUUUUUUUCAUAAUAUGUAGGACCAAUCCAUCCAUCUUCUGCAAUGGCUUUAGCCCAGUUAUUUAAUAUUUAGUUAAAUUCAUUAUCAUCAUCUCUUUCCAAAGAAUUAGGUCUUUUUCCAUAAAUUAAAUCAUGAUUUUGACAUAUUGCGUCAACCAUUGUUGUUGGAACAUAAUCCAUUGAUAGUUCUAUGGACAACAAAAGUUGGACUAGACAAAAGUUGGACUUCUAAGUUCAACAAGUUGGACCACAACUUAUCCAUAUCGCUUGGGAACUGAGUUUGGCUUUUAGGCCGAAUUUUAGGAAGGGGGUAAGGAACAAAGGGAAAGGUGGCAAAAAAAGAAAAAGGAGCAAUUGGCCACUGGUCAUGUCUUCCCCCUCUCCCCCGCCAAAAAAAAACAAAACAUGAAUAAAAUCAGACAGGCUGUCUGGCACGAGAAAAUUCAAUAAGGCUACCUACUUAAAAGCUCAUUGCAGAUUAUUGGACUAGUGAAUAAAGGCAAUUCCUUUGAAUUUGGGGGGUUCUUUCUCCCCACCUUUUGCUUCGUUCCAAAAGAGGCUUAAAGUCUGCGGUAAGUUCUUUCUCUGAUUUUGCAUUAACGAUAUGAUCUUAAUUUUCUCGUGGUUUAAUCUGUGUUGAUCUGAUUUUUUUAAUGAACACCUUUUAAUUAUUUCACUUAAGGUGAAUAGAAACAAGAUAAGUAAAUGAAGAGACGUGGAGGUAGACGAUGAAUAAGACGACAAGAAAACAAUGCAGGAACCAAGGAAGAAGAGGUAGUUGAGACAACCUGUAAAAUACCCUCCUUUAAGGAUUCAAGAGCUGUUUUUUCCCAUCUCUCAAGUAUUCACGACGGAGAACUGAUGAAAAAUCUCUCGCAAUCUAUUCCCGUGCAAUCAAAACUCCGACUACUACGAGGCGGGUCUCGUUCAGUAACCUGCGACUUGUGUUACAGAAUGGAAUAUUCUGAUGGAAGUUCUUAAAUCAGAAUCAAACAAGCAAAUAAUCACAAAAGUGGAAGUGACCUAGCCAAAAUUGUGAAACGCAUUAUGAGGGGAGUCGUGACAGACAAAUUUGAUGCUAGUUAUGUUGGAUGGAUGGGACAGCAUGGCAAAUAUACUGUG